GCUUCCAGGAAAAUCUUCUAAGCUUCAGGCUAUUCGAGACCGUACCCCAAACCGACACAGGUUGUCAGGUAGAGAAUACCAAGGCGCUUGAGAGAACUCGGGUGAAGGAACUAGGCAAAAUGGUACCGUAACUUCGGGAGAAGGUACGCCGCUGACGGUGAUGAGACUUGCUCUCUGAGCUAUCGGCGGUCGCAGUGAAAAGGCCCCUGCAACUGUUUAUUAAAAACACAGCACUCUGCAAACUCGUAAGAGGACGUAUAGGGUGUGACACCUGCCCGGUGCCGGAAGGUUAAUUGAUGGG
rnacentral:rRNA from 18 species